ACUCUAAUAGUUUACUGAAAACAUUGGUCUUGUAAGCCAAAGAGCGAAGAUUACACCCCUUCUUAGAGUU
rnacentral:tRNA from 1 species